CCCCGAAGUGUGGUUCGCUGGUCUCCC
rnacentral:sRNA from 1 species